rnacentral:rRNA from 1 species
CAAAUGAUGGAACUCUUAUGACCCAGCUGCGUUAGCUUUGCCGAGCGCCCCUUGAGGCGCCAGGCGGACGGUUAUGCUGCCCCUUUUUUGGCCAUGCUCUUACCUUUUCGGGAACCAUGGAAAAUUAUGUGGUAUCGCUUGUUGCCUCGGAUGCGGAGCACGAAGCGAGCAUGAUGCCUGUCAUCAUUCGCUCAUUCGGAGCUCUCGAUUGCUCGGAAAGUGAGAAUGCCGCGCUUGGUUUUGGCUGUCGACUCGUCGAGCCAGCUCAAAACCUCGCCGACGUCUUCAACGAAUGCUACCUGGUUGAUCCUGCCAGUAGUCAUAUGCUUGUCUCAAAGAUUAAGCCAUGCAGGU